UGACGAGUGGCGAACGGGUGAGUAAUGCAUCGGAACGUACCGAGUAAUGGGGGAUAACUAUCCGAAAGGAUGGCUAAUACCGCAUACGAUCUUAGGAUGAAAGUGGGGGACCUUCGGGCCUCACGUUAUUCGAGCGGCCGAUGCCUGAUUAGCUAGUUGGUGAGGUAAGAGCUCACCAAGGCGACGAUCAGUAGCGGGUCUGAGAGGAUGAUCCGCCACACUGGGACUGAGACACGGCCCAG
rnacentral:rRNA from 1 species